CAGCGGCAUGGAGCGUAUCAGGGGCUUCAUCACAACGCGCACCCAGCCGUGUAUCUGGAAAUCCUUAAUGCCGCCCUUCAUGCCACCUAGAUCUUCACGCCACCAAUGCGCGGCGGUAUUGUGCCCAAUAUGAUCCGAUCGAAGCGGAAGCCGUGCAUCUUGUACUGCGACAGGGCCAAAGCCACAUUUGGCUCAAUCGUCUCCUUGACCAGCGAGCGGGCAAAAUGGUUGGCAUUGGGCCACACCUGCUUCAGAAUCUGUUGGGAAGAUAAAAAGUGUACACAAAUGAAUUUUUCGAACGAUUCUUCCUAUAGAGAUACGGGCUAAGUUUGGUUAGGCUAGAGAGCUUACCUUAUUUAACCACUCGGCGCGUUCAACAUCGGGAAAGUAUACCCAGGCGGG